AGCAACUAGGGGUUAAGUGUCUUGCUCAGGGACACAUUGGUGUCUCACAGUGGAUUCGAACCCGGGUCUCUCACAUUUAAGGGAUCUGUCUUAUCACCUGCGCCAUCACCACCCCUUUUAACAGCUUUUACUGUUAAACUAUAGUAUUUGUGUUUUAUUAUGUUACAUAUUUUUAGAUGAAUAUCUUCAUUGAAAUGUGUAAAAGUGAUUUUUUUUUUUAUUCUUAUUUUUAAGAAGUAAAAUGCAACAUUAUACCUUUUGUAAAGGAUUUGAGAUGUUUAGGUUUUUACUGCCGAGUUUGAGCUGGAGUGAUGGACAUCUGUGAGGCUUUCAAGAAUAUUACUAUAUGCUUGAAAUGAUCUCUUGCACUUGAACAGGGCCGUUUCCAGAGUCAGCUGAUCAAAGUUCCCACCAACUGCCUUAUAAUAGAUCCAUCCAAAGCAUUUCACUACAGGUUGUACUGUAAAUGAUUGUGUAUGAGACCAAGAUGAAAUUGGACUUGAAAACUGAACGGUUCCUGCUUUGGUAGAAUAAUAGGAUUUAUAAGUGUCAUCAUGGUGCCUAUUUUUAAAUGAAGAAUUUCCAUUCUGUAACACGGCCUCAGUAAGAGCGAUAUUGUGUGCCUUGGGCUCUGAGCCUUUAGAUUAUUUCUAUAAUUUUAAGAAACUUAAAGUACUGGACAAAAAAAAAAUGCAAACUGUACCAUCACUGUAACAUUCUUAAUACAUAUAACUUACUCAGUUGGGACAACAUUUUAAAACAUAGUGAUGCAUGCAUAAUCUUUAAGAUUAGGUCCCGUUUCUUUGGACUCAAUUGCUAUGGACUCAAUUGCCAGUGGACAUUCGAAUUUCCACCUCAUACUAUAUAUUCUCAUAAGGAGAAUAUAUAGGAGGACUGGCUUUUGAGCAAACAAAAAUGUAUCUCUGAUAAUAUUUAAUGUAUGUCUUCCUCUAUAUUUUAGCUGUCCUGUACCUUAUGUAUGUAGAUAUUAGGAUAGAUGGUUACUAUUUUAAAUAUUUGUACAGAUGUAUGGUUAUAUAAAUAUGUUUUAUGAUGUUAUGUUUUAAAAUAGCCAGUUAUGGCAUUAUGUUUUAUUGUUGUUUAUUAAUUGCUGUGUGAUUUAAUGUGCCUAAUAACAUCAUGCCACAGUUGAAUAUUAGCCUGCGGGCUAACACUGGCACAUUUACAGAAAUGUUCAUUAAUGUGCACUGUCCUAAAAUAAAGAAAUGAAAAUGAAAUGAAAUUUAGCAUUAGCAAAGGUAAACAUGUAUGCAUUAUUUUCAUACAAUGGAAAGGAACCUGGAAAAUCUGUACAUUUAUAUUCUAGAUGCCAUUAAAACAGAUCUGAUUCACUUA